rnacentral:rRNA from 1 species
CCUACGGGAGGCAGCAGUAGGGAAUAUUGCUCAAUGGGGGAAACCCUGAAGCAGCAACGCCGCGUGGAGGAUGAAGGUUUUCGGAUUGUAAACUCCUUUUUUUAGAGAAGAUAAUGACGGUAUCUAACGAAUAAGCACCGGCUAACUCCGUGCCAGCAGCCGCGGUAAUACGGAGGGUGCAGGCGUUACUCGGAAUCACUGGGCGUAAAGAGCGCGUAGCGGGGAUAGCAAGUCAGAUGUGAAAUCUUAUGGCUUAACCAUAGAACUGCAUUUGAAACUGUUAGUCUAGAGUAUAGGAGAGGUAGGUGGAAUUCUUGGUGGAGGGGUAAAAUCCGUAGAGAUCAAGAGGAAUACUCAUUGCGAAGGCGACCUGCUAGAACAUAACUGACGCUGAUGCGCGAAAGCGUGGGGAGCAAACAGGAUUAGAUACCCGAGUAGUC